GGUAGGGGAGCUUACUGUCGUAGGCCGAAGCACGAUCGUGAGGACGUGUGGACGAAACAGUAGUGAGAAUGCCGGAAUAAGUAGCGAGAGUAAAGUGAGAAUCUUUACCGUCGAAAACCUAAGGUUUCCUGGGGAAGGCUCGUCCGCCCAGGGUAAGUCGGGACCUAAGCCGAGGCCGAAAGGCGUAGGCGAUGGACAACAGGUUGAAAUUCCUGUACUACCGUCUCUUGUUUGAGAGAGGUGGGGACGCAGGAGGAUAGGCUAAGCGAGUAACUGGAAAAGCUCGUCCAAGGGAGGUAGAUAGUCCGGUAGGCAAAUCCGCCGGACGUUUCGAAGGCCUGAUGGGGAGGGAAAAUAGAGUACCGAAGUAGCCGAUUCCACACUGACGAGAAAAGCCACUAUCGAGAGAGAAGGUACCCGUACCGCAAACCGACACAGGUAGGUGAGGAGAGAAUCCUAAGACGAGCGGGAGAAGCGUUGUUAAGGAACUCGGCAAAUUGACCCCGUAAGUUCGCGAGAAGGGGUGCCUGUAGGAAUACAGGCCGCAGUGAAAAGGCCCAAGCAACUGUUUAUCAAAAACACAGGUCUCUGCUAAAUCGAAAGAUGACGUAUAGGGGCUGACGCCUGCCCGGUGCUGGAAGGUUACGGGGAAUGCUUAGCGCAAGCGAAGGCAUGAACUUAAGCCCCAGUAAACGGCGGCCGUAACUAUAACGGUCCUAAGGUAGCGAAAUUCCUUGUCAGGUAAGUUCUGACCCGCACGAAUGGCGUAAUGAUUUGGGCACUGUCUCGACAACGCACCCGGUGAAAUUGUAGUACUUGUGAAGAUGCAAGUUACCCGCGACUAGACGGAAAGACCCCAUGGAGCUUUACUGUAGCCUGAUACUGGGUUUCGGUAUUCUUUGUAUAGGAUAGGUGGGAGGCAGAGAAGUAGCGGCGCCAGCCGCUAUGGAGCCGACGUUGGAAUACCACUCUAAGAGUACUGGAACUCUAACCAGAGUCCAUAAGCUGGACUUGGGACACUGUCAGGUGGGCAGUUUGACUGGGGCGGUCGCCUCCCAAAAGGUAACGGAGGCGUCCAAAGGUUACCUCAGCGCGGUUGGAAACCGCGCAACGAGUGCAAAGGCAUAAGGUAGCCUGACUGUGAGAGAGACACCUCGAGCAGGUACGAAAGUAGGGCUUAGUGAUCCGGUGGUAUGAAAGUGGAAUUGCCAUCGCUCAACGGAUAAAAGCUACCCUGGGGAUAACAGGCUUAUCUCCCCCAAGAGUCCACAUCGACGGGGAGGUUUGGCACCUCGAUGUCGGCUCAUCGCAUCCUGGAGCUGUAGCAGGUUCCAAGGGUUUGGCUGUUCGCCAAUUAAAGCGGUACGCGAGCUGGGUUCAGAACGUCGUGAGACAGUUCGGUCCCUAUCUGUCGCGGGCGCAGGAUAUUUGAGGGGAUCUGUCCUUAGUACGAGAGGACCGGGAUGGACGAACCUCUGGUGCACCAGUUGCAUUGCCAAGUGCAGAGCUGGGUAGCCAAGUUCGGCAGGGAUAAACGCUGAAGGCAUCUAAGCGUGAAACCCACCCCAAGAUGAGAUAUCCCAUUCGAAAGAAGUAAGACCCCAUGAAGACUACAUGGUAGAUAGGCCGGAUGUGGAAGUGCAGUAAUGUACGAAGCUGACCGGUACUAAUAGGUCGAGGGCUUGACCAAGAA
rnacentral:rRNA from 1 species